rnacentral:snRNA from 1 species
AGCUUUGCGCAGUGGCAGUAUCGUAGCCAAUGAGGUUUAUCCGAGGCGCAAUUAUUGCUAAUUGAAAACUGGCCUUGUUGACCCAGACAAAAUCCAUCUCUAUUUGUGAUUCCUCUUCUCCCUCCCCAUCCCUUCUGUUUACAUAAAGGAG